ACUCCUACGGGAGGCAGCAGUGGGAAUAUUGCACAAUGGGGAAAGCCAUCGAUGCAGCCAUGCCGCGCUGUGUGAAGAAGGCCAAUUCGGGCUUGGUUAAAGACACUUUUCAGUAGGGAGGAAGGUAGUGUAGUUAACACCUGCAUUAUUUGACGUUACCUACAGAAGAAGCACCGGCUAACUCCGUGCCAGCAGCCGCGGUAAUACGGAGGGUGCGAGCGUUAAUCGGAAUUACUGGGCGUAAAGCGUGCGCAGGCGGUUUGCUAAGACCGAUGUGAAAUCCCGGCGUCACCUAGGCACUGGCAUGUGAUGCUGGCAGGCUAGAGUAUGGCAGAGGGGUGG
rnacentral:rRNA from 1 species